AGAGUUUGAUCCUGGCUCAGGAUGAACGCUAGCUACAGGCUUAACACAUGCAAGUCGAGGGGCAGCAUUAAGGAAGCUUGCUUAUUUAGAUGGCGACCGGCGCACGGGUGAGUAACGCGUAUCCAACCUGCCCCCUACCCGGGGAUAGCCUUGCGAAAGUAAGAUUAAUACCCGGUGCAGUUAUGAUUCCGCAUGGGAAUAUAACGAAAGAUUCAUCGGUAGGGGAUGGGGAUGCGUCCGAUUAGCUUGUUGGCGGGGUAACGGCCCACCAAGGCGACGAUCGGUAGGGGUUCUGAGAGGAAGGUCCCCCACAUUGGAACUGAGACACGGUCCAAACUCCUACGGGAGGCAGCAGUGAGGAAUAUUGGUCAAUGGGCGAUAGCCUGAACCAGCCAAGUAGCGUGCAGGAUGACGGCCUUAUAGGUUGUAAACUGCUUUUGUGCGAGGGUAAAGUGAGCCACGUGUGGCUUUUUGCAAGUAUUGCACGAAUAAGGACCGGCUAAUUCCGUGCCAGCAGCCGCGGUAAUACGGAAGGUCCGGGCGUUAUCCGGAUUUAUUGGGUUUAAAGGGAGCGUAGGCGGUAGGAUAAGUCAGCUGUGAAAUUGUGGCGCUCAACGUCGCGACUGCAGUUGAAACUGUUUUACUUGAGUGCGCACAGCGGCGCUGGAAUUCGUGGUGUAGCGGUGAAAUGCUUAGAUAUCACGAAGAACUCCGAUCGCGAAGGCAGGUGCCGGGGGCGCAACUGACGCUGAGGCUCGAAAGUGUGGGUAUCAAACAGGAUUAGAUACCCUGGUAGUCCACACAGUAAACGAUGGAUACUCGCUGUAUGCGAUAUAUUGUAUGCGGCCGAGCGAAAGUAUUAAGUAUCCCACCUGGGGAGUACGCCGGCAACGGUGAAACUCAAAGGAAUUGACGGGGGCCCGCACAAGCGGAGGA
rnacentral:rRNA from 1 species